GAUGAACGCUAGCGGCAGGCUUAAUACAUGCAAGUCGUGGGGCAGCAGGUUUGUAGCAAUACAGAUGCUGGCGACCGGCAAACGGGUGCGGAACACGUACACAACCUUCCUUUAAGUGGGGAAUAGCCCAGAGAAAUUUGGAUUAAUACCCCGUAACAUUAUGAUGUGGCAUCACAUUAUAAUUAUAGCUACGGCGCUUAAUGAUGGGUGCGCGGCUGAUUAGGUAGUUGGCGGGGUAACGGCCCACCAAGCCUGCGAUCAGUAACUGGUGUGAGAGCACGACCAGUCACACGGGCACUGAGACACGGGCCCGACUCCUACGGGAGGCAGCAGUAAGGAAUAUUGGGCAAUGGAGGAAACUCUGACCCAGCCAUGCCGCGUGGAGGAUGAAGGUCCUCUGGAUUGUAAACUUCUUUUAUAUGGGACGAAAAAGGGUCUUUCUAGGUCAACUGACGGUACCAUAUGAAUAAGCACCGGCUAACUCCGUGCCAGCCGCCGCUGUAAGAC
rnacentral:rRNA from 1 species